rnacentral:rRNA from 1 species
GGCCUAACACAUGCAAGUCGAGGGGUAACAGGGAGCUUGCUCCGCUGACGACCGGCGCACGGGUGCGCACCGCGUAUGGAACCUGCCCUCUACAGGGGAAUAGCCCAGGGAAACUUGGAUUAAUGCCCCGUGGUACCGUUAUAUGGCAUCAUAUUACGGUUAAAGCCUUCGGGCGGUAGAGGAUGGCCAUGCGUCCCAUUAGCUAGUUGGUAGGGUAACGGCCUACCAAGGCUACGAUGGGUAGGGGCCCUGAGAGGGGGAUCCCCCACACUGGUACUGAGACACGGACCAGACUCCUACGGGAGGCAGCAGUGAGGAAUAUUGGACAAUGGAGGAGACUCUGAUCCAGCCAUGCCGCGUGCAGGAAGAAUGCCCUAUGGGUAGUAAACUGCUUUUAUACGGGAAGAAAAAGGGGCACGUGUGCCCUGUUGACGGUACCGUAAGAAUAAGGACCGGCUAACUCCGUGCCAGCAGCCGCGGUAAUACGGAGGGUCCGA